rnacentral:tRNA from 2 species
UCCUUAGUAGCUCAGUGGUAGAGCGAUCGGCUGUUAACCGAUUGGUCGCUGGUUCAAGUCCAGCCUGAGGAG